GGAGGUGGGGACAGUGAACUAUUUUCCUUCCCCUUCAGAGGACUGGGAGGUGGGGACAGUGAACUAUUUUCAUUCCCCUUCAGAGGACUGGGAGGUGGGGACAGGGAACUAUUUUCAUUCCCCUUCAUAGGACUGGGAGGUGGGGACAGGGAACUAUUUUCAUUCCCCUUCAUAGGACUGGGAGGUGGGGACAGUGAACUAUUUUCCUUCCCCUUCAGAGGACUGGGAGGUGGGGACAGUGAACUAUUUUCAUUCCCCUUCAGAGGACUGGGAGGUGGGGACAGUGAACUAUUUUCAUUCCCCUUCAUAGGACUGGGAGGUGGGGACUGAACUAUUUUCAUUCCCCUUCAUAGGACUGGGAGGUGGGGACAGUGAACUAUUUUCAUUCCCCUUCAGAGGACUGGGAGGUGGGGACAGUGAACUAUUUUCAUUCCCCUUCAUAGGACUGGGAGGUGGGGACAGUGAACUAUUUUCAUUCCCCUUUAGAGGACUGGGAGGUGGGGACUGAACUAUUUUCAUUCCCCUUCAUAGGACUGGGAGGUGGGGACAGUGAACUAUUUUCAUUCCCCUUCAGAGGACUGGGAGGUGGGGACAGUGAACUAUUUUCAUUCCCCUUCAUAGGACUGGGAGGUGGGGACUGAACUAUUUUCAUUCCCCUUCAUAGGACUGGGAGGUGGGGACAGUGAACUAUUUUCAUUCCCCUUCAGAGGACUGGGAGGUGGGGACAGUGAACUAUUUUCAUUCCCCUUCAUAGGACUGGGAGGUGGGGACUGAACUAUUUUCAUUCCCCUUCAUAGGACUGGGAGGUGGGGACAGUGAACUAUUUUCAUUCCCCUUCAUAGGACUGGGAGGUGGGGACAGUGAAUUAUUUUCAUUCCCCUUCAUAGGACUGGGAGGU